GCGUGGAUGAAGAAGGUCUUCGGAUUGUAAAGUCCUUUCGGCGGGGACGAUGAUGACGGUACCCGCAGAAGAAGCCCCGGCUAACUUCGUGCCAGCAGCCGCGGUAAUACGAAGGGGGCUAGCGUUGCUCGGAAUGACUGGGCGUAAAGGGCGCGUAGGCGGUUUGGUCAGUUAGGUGUGAAAUUCCUGGGCUCAACCUGGGGGCUGCACUUAAUACGGCCAGACUUGAGUGUGGAAGAGGGUCGUGGAAUUCCCAGUGUAGAGGUGAAAUUCGU
rnacentral:rRNA from 1 species